AGAGUUUGAUCCUGGCUCAGAACGAACGCUGGCAGCGUGGAUUAGGCAUGCAAGUCGAACGGGAUCGGGGAGGCAGCAAUGUCGCCCCGUGAGAGUGGCGGAAGGGCGAGGAACACGUGGGCAACCUGUCUCUGAGGUGGGGAAAACCGCUGGAAACGGCGGCUAAUACCGAAUGUAGCGCCCGCUCGCAUGAGCGGAGCGCCAAAGGGGGCGAAAGCUCCCCCUCUCCGAGGGGCCCGCGCACCAUCAGCUUGUUGGCGGGGUAACGGCCCACCAAGGCUCACGGUUAGCUGGUCUGAGAGGAUGGCCAGCCGCACUGGGACUGAGAUACUGCCCAGACUCCUACGGGAGGCUGCAGUCGAGGAUCAUUUGCAAUGGGCGAAAGCCUGACAAUGCGACGCUGCGUGGAGGAUGAAGGCCCUCGGGUUGUAAACUCCUGUCAUGGGGGAAAAGGAAAAGGGACCCAACACGUCCCCGAUUUGAUGGUACCCCAAGAGGAAGCGACGGCUAACUCUGUGCCAGCAGCCGCGGUAAUACAGAGGUCGCAAGCGUUGUUCGGAUUUACUGGGCGUAAAGGGCGCGUAGGCGGCCGUGCGUGUCGGAUGUGAAAUCUCCGGGCUCAACCCGGAAAGUGCGUCCGAAACUGCAUGGCUCGAGUUCGGGAGAGGGAAUCGGAAUGCAGGGUGUAGCGGUGAAAUGCGUUGAUAUCCUGCAAAACACCGGAGGCGAAGGCGGGAUUUCCUGGAAACGAAAACUGACGCUCAGGCCGCGAAAGUCGGGGGAGCAAACAGGGAUUAGAUACCCUGGUAGUCCCGACCUUAAACGGGUGCAUACUCGGGGUGGGGGGAUUUCAACCCCCCCGUCCCUCAGCUAACGCGUUAAGUAUGCCGCCUGGGGAGUACGGCCGCAAGGCUAAAACUCAAAGAAAUUGACGGGGGCCCGCACAAGCAGAGGAGCAUGUGGCUUAAUUCGAUGCAACGCGAAGAACCUUACCUGGGCUUGACAUGCAGGUGCACGGGGGAUGAAAGUCCCCCUCCUUCGAGGGUCCUGCACAGGUGCUGCAUGGCUGUCGUCAGUUCGUGCCGUGAGGUGUUUGGUUAAGUCCACCAACGAACGCAACCCCUUUGAGCAGUUGCCAGCGGGCGAUGCCGGGAACUCUGCUCAGACUGCCCGUUUACGCGGGAGGAAGGUGGGGAUGACGUCAAGUCAGUAUGGCCCUUACGCCCAGGGCUGCACACGUGCUACAAUGGCCGGUACAGAGGGACGCCAAGCCGCGAGGCGGAGCUAACCCCCCAGAGCCGGCCCCAGUUCAGAUCGGGGUCUGCAACCCGACCCCGUGAAGUCGGAUUUGCUAGUAACGGCGCAUCAGCUACGGCGCCGUGAAUGCGUUCCCGGGCCUUGUACACACCGCCCGUCACAUCAUGAAAGCCGUCUGCGCCCGAAGUCUGGCUCAGGUCAGCCUAAGGUGUGGGUGGUGAUUGGGAUGAAGUCGUAACAAGGUAAUCCGUUGGGGAACCAGCGGCUGGAUCACCUCCUUUCU
rnacentral:rRNA from 1 species